rnacentral:rRNA from 1 species
AUUGAACGCUGGCGGCAGGCCUAACACAUGCAAGUCGAGCGAGCGGCGGACGGGUGAGUAAUGUAUGGGGACUGCCCGAUAGAGGGGGAUAACUACUGGAAACGGUAGCUAAUACCGCAUACUAUCGGAUAACCCAUAUGGGAUUAGCUAGUAGGUGAGGUAAUGGCUCACCUGGGCGACGAUCCCUAGCUGGUCGGAGAGGUUGAGGAGCCAAAGGGGGAUUGAGACACGGCCCAGACUCCUACGGGGGCGGCAGUGGGGAAUAUUGGAAAAUGGGCGCAAGCCUGAUGCGGCCAUGCCGCGUGUAUGAAGAAGGCCCUGGGGUUUAAAAGUACUUUCAUUCGGGAGGCGUUACCGACAGAAGAAGCACCGGCUAACUCCGUGCCAGCAGCCGCGGUAAUAC